rnacentral:rRNA from 1 species
GACGAACGCUGGCGGCGUGCUUAACACAUGCAAGUCGAACGGAAAGGCCCUGCUUUUGUGGGGUGCUCGAGUGGCGAACGGGUGAGUAACACGUGAGUAACCUGCCCUUGACUUUGGGAUAACUUCAGGAAACUUGGGCUAAUACCGGAUAGGAUCUCCUGCUGCAUGUUGUGGGUUGGAAAGUUUCGGCGGUUGGGGAUGGACUCGCGGCUUAUCAGCUUGUUUGUGGGGUAGUGGCUUACCAAGGCUUUGACGGGUAGCCGGCCUGAGAGGGUGACCGGCGACAUUGGGACUGAGAUACGGCCCAGACUCAUACGGGAGGCAGCAGUGGGGAAUAUUGCACAAUGGGCGGAAGCCUGAUGCAGCAACGCGGCGUGCGGGAUGACGGCCUUCGGGUUGUAAACCGCUUUCGCCUGUGACGAAGCGUGAGUGACGGUAAUGGGUAAAGAAGCACCGGCUAACUACGUG